GAAGUAGUUUAUAUUGUCAUAGCGCUGUUAGUUGCAUUUAUUGGCAGAGAAAUGCCAACAGAAAAUUUGGUUAAAAAAUUUACAUCAAUAAGUAAUACCAAAUUAAGGGGUUUUGCAUUUCUUAACACUGUAUCCUUUGUGGGGAUCAGGAAAAGAUACAGCUUUCCCCUCCACUAAAUGAUUUUGGAAAUGACUCACAUUCUUGCAGGUUUUGGCAAGCUUUCUUGUCUCACUGUGUGGCUCAUCUUCCAGGCAAACUUUGCAACAGUUGCUGCCAAGUCACAGAUGAAUGCAGAAGUAGCUGGCAGAACCAGAUAUCCAGAGAGAACCUGUGAGUGUCAAAGCUGCACAUCCUCUGAAAAUUGCUCUAAUUGUUGUACUUCUGUAAAGGAUCCUGACUGUGGGAAGCAUAGUUUGUAAGCUGACUGUGAGUUCUCCAUGUGCACGACAACAGCUGAUGAUGAGUUUUCUGCUCUGUAGCCCCACUAUGGCCCCCAAGUAACCUACUUUCAAACACUGCUAAAUUAAAUUUUUUCUCCUUUUACUGUC